GGGGUUCUGGCUCAGAGAUAGAGCACAUGCCUAACAUGCAUGAGGCACUGGGUUUGAACCUCA
rnacentral:tRNA from 1 species